CGCCUGGGAACCGUCCCAGCGCCUUGAGGAAUUUUCCAUUUAUGACAUCAUGUCAGCAUUCAAAAAAUCCUGGAUUUUGGAUUUUCAGAUUAAAAUGCGAGGCACGACCUGCUGUUUGGACAAUAUAAACCGUCCCAGAUAGACUGGAAAGGCAAGGCGCUGGGACCAGAGGCUAUAUGCUUUGUGACUGCCUGUUACUGGACAAAUCUCAAGGUUGU